UACGAAGGGGGCUAGCGUUGCUCGGAAUCACGUGGGACGUAAAGCGCACGUUAGGCGGCUUUCUAAAGUCAGGGGGUGAAAAUCCUGGAGCUCAACUCCAGUAACUGCCUUUGAUACUGGGGAGCUUGAGUCCGGAAGAGGUGAGUGGAACUCCGAGUGUAGAGGUGAAAUUCGUAGAUAUUCGCAAGAACACCAGUGGCGAAGGCGGCUCACUGGCCCGGUACUGACGCUGAGGCACGAAAGCGUGGGGAGCAAACAGG
rnacentral:rRNA from 1 species